GACUGAGCAUACUGAGUGUUCUUUCAUGUCUGUGAUUCUUUGUUAUGACCCUAUCUUUGUUUCUUUGACUUUGCCUUUGGAUCUCACCCUUUUUGUACCUUUGUUCUGACUCAUGCUUAGCAUUGGUACUGCCCCCCUAGUGGUGCAGUUCCUGCAGUGACACUGGGCAGCAUUCUGAGCAACAUGGAGGAGCUUGCAAACAGCAGUCAAAACUCAAUCUUUAUUUCUUGUUGUUCAGGCAUUAUCUUUUUACACCUCUUCCAUUAAAACACUUAAAGACUCCACCACGUGUCUUGGUCACUUAAGGAAGAGUGUUAAGCUGUCUGCAUAGCUGUGUACGCAGACGCACAGUGAAGGCAGAACAACCUUCACCAACUGGUUUUGUGUUUCUGAACUUGGACCCUUUUGGAUUGUUCAUUGACUAUGAUUUUUGUCUUCUCCUUGGAUUUGGGUUGCCUGUUUUUUUUGGUAUUUGACCCUCGCCUGUUUUUGACCCUGAUCUUUGCUCCUGUUAUUAAACCUAGUUUGCCUUCUUA